AACGAACGCUGGCGGCAGGCUUAACACAUGCAAGUCGAGCGAGAUCUUCGGGUCUAGCGGCGGACGGGUGAGUAACGCGUGGGAACGUGCCCUUUUCUGCGGAAUAGCCUCGGGAAACUGAGAGUAAUACCGCAUACGCCCUUUUGGGGAAAGAUUUAUCGGAGAAGGAUCGGCCCGCGUUGGAUUAGGUAGUUGGUGGGGUAAAGGCCUACCAAGCUGACGAUCCAUAGCUGGUUUGAGAGGAUGAUCAGCCACACUGGGACUGAGACACGGCCCAGACUCCUACGGGAGGCAGCAGUGGGGAAUCUUAGACAAUGGGGGCAACCCUGAUCUAGCCAUGCCGCGUGAGUGAUGAAGGCCUUAGGGUUGUAAAGCUCUUUCAGCUGGGAAAAUAAUGACGGUACCAGCAGAAGAAGCCCCGGCUAACUCCGUGCCAGCCGCCGCAGUAA
rnacentral:rRNA from 1 species